rnacentral:lncRNA from 1 species
CCAGCAAAAUCAGUCAUAAACCCAUUUUAAUCCAUAGUUUCCAUAACUAGACCACAAAAACUUUUACCUGUCAUUUUAUGUUUAAUAUUCAAACUAGGUGUUGCUAAGAGACAAUGAAAAGUUUUAACACAGAUUGAUGCUGAGCAAAUCCUAUAGUGCCUUAAAAAAUUAGCAGUACUUCAUGACAAAUAAUGUUGUGCAGCCACAAAAGCACUAACCUAGGCCAAGAAAUUGGAUGACUCGUGUUUGCAACAGACAUGGAAAAAAAAUUGAAGAAAACAUGAGGGAUUGUUCAUACUAUGUGUGGUGUAGAGUUCAAAGUUGCAGUUGAAGAACUUACAAACCUCGCAAUAUGCUAGACUCCACUGACAGCAAGAUUUGUUAAUGUUCACAGGCUUGAGACCCAAUCUUCCUCAAAGUUGUAGUCGAAGAACUUACAAACCUCGCAAUAUGCUAGACUCAACUGACAGCAAGAUUUGUUAACGUUCACAGGCUUGAGACCCAAUCUUCUGUUUUCAUGCAAAAGAGUUGACGUAUAGAUACAUCGGGUAGCCUUUUCAUAUGAAGAUUCCAGGGAGACACUCCCACAUGAUGCUAACUGAAUUUACCAGAGCAAGAAAUGUGGUUGGCAUUCCAUU